rnacentral:rRNA from 1 species
CGCCUUUUGAAAUAUAAACAUAAAAGGUCCUGCCUGCCCAAUGACUUGUUUUUAAUGGCCGCGGUAUUAUGACCGUGCAAAGGUAGCGUAAUCAUUUGUCUUUUAAAUAAAGACCAGUAUGAAUGGCUAAACGAAAGCCUCACUGUCUCUCUAACCUACUCAAUGAAAUUGAUCUCUCCGUGCAGAAGCGGAGAUAAAACUAUAAGACGAGAAGACCCUGCGGAGCUUUAAACUCUAGCUAACAAAUUAUAUAAUACUUUAGUACACAGUUUUUGGUUGGGGCGACCAUGAGGUAUAGCAUAACCCUCACGAUAUUUAAUUAAGAAAGACACUUCAAACAACUAAUAUAGUAUAUUGACCCAAUAUUUGAUCACGAACCAAGUUACCCCAGGGAUAACAGCGCAAUCCGCUCAAAGAGUCCUUAUCGACGAGCAGGUUUACGACCUCGAUGUUGGAUCAGGACCCCCAAGUAGCGCAACAGCUAUUGAAGGUUCGUUUGUUCAACGAUUAAUAGUCCU